UACGUAGGGGGCUAGCGUUGUCCGGAAUCAUUGGGCGUAAAGCGCGCGUAGGCGGCCAGAUAAGUCCGGUGUGAAAGUCACAGGCUCAACCUGUGAAUGCCGCUGGAAACUGUCUGGCUUGAGUCCGGAAGGGGCGAGUGGAAUUCCUGGUGUAGCGGUGAAAUGCGCAGAUAUCGGGAGGAACACCUGUGGCGAAGGCGGCCCCCUGGUUGGAUACUGACGCUGAUACGCGAAAGCGUGGGGAGCAAACAGG
rnacentral:rRNA from 1 species